CGCGAUUCGCCCUUCGGGGGCCCAGGCGCGAAAACUUUACAAUGCUGGCAACAGCGAUAAGGGGACCUCGAGUGCCAGGAUACAAUCUUGGCUGUCGUGAUGCCUAAAAAGCAUUACAUAGCAAGGGCCGGGCAAGACCGGUGCCAGCCGCCGCGGUAACACCGGCGGCUCGAGUGGUAACCGCUAUUAUUGGGUCUAAAGGGUCUGUAGCCGGCCGGAUAAGUCUUUUGGGAAAUCCAGCUGCUCAACAGUUGGGCUUUCAGAAGAUACUGUUCGGCUCGAGGCCGGGAGAGGUGAGAGGUACUUCAGGGGUAGGGGUGAAAUCUUGUAAUCCUUGAAGGACCACCAGUGGCGAAGGCGUCUCACCAGAACGGUCCUGACGGCAAGGGACGAAAGCUAGGGGCACGAACCGGAUUAGAUACCCGGGUAGUCCUAGCCGUAAACGAUACUCGCUAGGUGUCAGCCACGGUGCGACCGUGGUUGGUGCCGUAGGGAAGCCGUGAAGCGAGCCACCUGGGAAGUACGGCCGCAAGGCUGAAACUUAAAGGAAUUGGCGGGGGAGCAC
rnacentral:rRNA from 1 species